GAUGAACGCUGGCGGUAUGCCUUACACAUGCAAGUCGAACGGGAAUUAGCUUCGGUUAAUUCUAGUGGCGGACGGGUGAGUAACACGUGAGAAUUCGCCUUUAGGAGGGGGAUAACGAGUGGAAACAUUCGCUAAAACCCCAUAUGCCCCAGGGUGAAAAAGAGGUUAAUAGUAAAACUGAAUAACCUCUGCCUGAAGAGAAGCUCGCGGCUGAUUAGCUAGUUGGUAGGGUAAUGGCCUACCAAGGCGACGAUCAGUAGCUGGUCUGAGAGGACGAUCAGCCACACCGGAACUGAGACACGGUCCAGACUCCUACGGGAGGCAGCAGUGAGGAAUUUUCUGCAAUGGGCGAAAGCCUGACAGAGCAAUACCGCGUGAGGGAUGAAGACUUACUGAGUUGUAAACCUCGGUGCCUUAAGGAAGAAGAUCUGACGGUACUUAAGGUGGAAAGCAUCGGCUAACUCCGUGCCAGCCGCCGCCGUAAUAC
rnacentral:rRNA from 1 species